rnacentral:rRNA from 1 species
AGUGAAUUGGACCUCCAAGUGGGCCAUUUUUGGUUAGCAGGACUGGCGAUGCGGGAUGAACCGAAAGUGCUGUU